GAUGAACGCUGGCGGCGUGCCUAAUACAUGCAAGUCGAGCGAACAGACGAGGAGCUUGCUCCUCUGACGUUAGCGGCGGACGGGUGAGUAACACGUGGAUAACCUACCUAUAAGACUGGGAUAACUUCGGGAACCCGGAGCUAAUACCGGAUAAUAUAUUGAACCGCAUGGUUCAAUAGUGAUAGCCGGUUUUGCUGUCACUUAUUGAUGGAUCCGCGCCGCAUUAGCUAGUUGGUACGGUAACGGCUUACCAAGGCAACGAUGCGUAGCCGACCUGAGAGGGUGAUCGGCCACACUGGAACUGAGACACGGUCCAGACUCCUACGGGAGGCAGCAGUAGGGAAUCUUCCGCAAUGGGCGAAAGCCUGACGGAGCAACGCCGCGUGAGUGAUGAAGGUCUUCGGAUCGUAAAACUCUGUUAUUAGGGAAGAACAAAUGUGUAAGUAACUAUGCACGUCUUGACGGUACCUAAUCAGAAAGCCACGGCUAACUACGUG
rnacentral:rRNA from 1 species